rnacentral:rRNA from 1 species
UACGGUAGGGCAGUCGUUGUCCGGAUUUAUUGGGCGUAAAGAGCGUGUAGGCGGCCAGGUAGGUCUGCUGUGAAAACUCGAGGCUUAACCUCGAGCUGUCGGCGGAAACCAUCUGGCUAGAGUCCGGAAGAGGAGAAUGGAAUUCCCGGUGUAGCGGUGAAAUGCGUAGAUAUCGUAAGGAAGACCAGUGGCGAAGGCGGGUCUCUGGACAGUUCCUGACGCUGAGGCACGAAGGCCAGGGGAGCAAACGGG